UACGUAGGGGGCAAGCGUUGUCCGGAAUCAUUGGGCGUAAAGAGCGUGUAGGCGGCUCGGUAAGUCCGCUGUGAAAGUCCAGGGCUCAACCCUGGAAUGCCAGUGGAAACUGUCGAGCUAGAGUCCGGAAGAGGCGAGUGGAAUUCCUGGUGUAGCGGUGAAAUGUGUAGAGAUCGGGAGGAACACCGGUGGCGAAGGCGGGUCUCUGGGCAAUUCCUGACGCUGAGGCGCGAAAGCGUGGGGAGCAAACGGG
rnacentral:rRNA from 1 species